UCAUGUUCUCAAAUCAUAUAUCAUAAUGAAGUACAAUGUUUGAAGGCUGAGGUUCAAGGAUUGAAGGAAGCUUUAACUACUGUGAUUUCAUUAUUUCAUAAACAAUUUCCUAAUGAGAAUGUGGAGGUCCUAAACGCUGUUACUCGCAUAGUCAAUGGAGAGGUUCCUGAUGCUUCUAGUGCUCAACAAACCCCGCGUGGGAAUAAUCAUUCUCAUGAAUCAAGUCAUCAAGCAAAUCCAAAUGGAUCGAGUGAUGCCGUUUAGAAGAUGACAUCGGUCCUACUUGGGAAAAUUCUUAUCGCUUUAUUU